CUUCAUCUCGAAAGCUGAAUUGGCCUUUUUGCGUGAGAGGACUGGGAAUCUGUGGAUCACCCUAGUGCCGGGGUUUGAAUCAAAUAAGGUCGGGGUGAGAGUCAUGGGUUAAGUAAUCCUGCAUAGAGACUCAUUCUAAGAGAAUAAAUACAGCAGGAAAAGGGUUCAGUGAACUCUCGUGUGGUAUUAGAGUAAAACCCCAAGGGAAGGGGAUUGCUGUCUCAAAAGUGUUUAGGAGACAGCAAGGUUAAGGGUGGUUUUAGACUUGGAACCACCAGUGGCUGAGUUGGACUCCCCUAAGAUGUACUGGGUACGUGGUUUCUUGGUUUACGAAAACUAAGGCAUUGAACUGGACCCGCCCAAUGUGAGAGGGGACCUCUGGAGGUAAGAGUAAUUCAAAGGGAAAAGAUAACGGUACCACGAGAGUGUGAGAGAGAGUUGAACACUUUUCCAGUUACACUAAAAAUGGGCUCCGGCAAAAGCAAACAAAGGGAGAGUCCACACAGGACUUGGAAUGGCCAACCAAAAAUACAAUACGUGCUGAAUAAUCAUGGCCCAGAGUCUGUAAAGCAUUUAAAAUUGUGGAUCAAGGAAUGUGGUUUUCCAGAAGGAGGAAGUUUUAGUAAAAGCCAGCUAGAAAUAUUGAGGUUGAGGUUGGAGGAGAGAGAGAAGGAGAAAAAGAAGGGAAAAAUAGAAUCUGUGAAUUGCAGUGCUUAUAACAAGUGGAAGGCUGAUAUCAGGGAAAGGAGAUUUUAAGUAAAAGAUAGAUCAAAUACGCGUACAAACACCAGUGUACAUGCAGACACGUGCGGGAAAACAACCUAAUGAAGCGGUACAGUAUCUUAAGUCUGUUUCAGACCCUGACCUUGAUGACUGCCCUCCAAAACCUACAGCCCCCCCCACUACGAGAUCCGCCUGGCGAAGGUUCCAAGUCAGCAGCCCUGACUCAGGGUCUGCUGAAUCACCGGUAGCAUCUUGUACCCCCAACAGAUCGAAGCAAGAAGGCCAAGACAAGUAUAACUGGCCAGCUGUAAAUGUCCUUGCCAGAGUAGCCAACCCACAAGCAGAAGAGAAUGGAGACGUUAAUGCUUUUGUUGCAGCGCUGGCAACCGUCUAUAGGGAGGCAAUCCCAGUGCGAAUGGACAUGACUAAAAUAGCAAUGUGUAAACAACAAGAAGAUGAGACAGUGUCCCAGUACCUUAUGCGCCUCACUGAAGUCCAUAAUGUCCAUACUAGACUGAGACCACCUGAAGACAUAACGGCAGCAGAAAUCACACCGUAUGAGGCACACCUGAGGAACAGCUUCAUCAAUGGAAUGAAGGAUGAAAUAGCGAAAAAGAUGGUCACCCAGCCGUUGGAGGAAGGUGCUGAAGGAAAAGAGGUCGCGGAAGAGGCGCUGGCAGAGGUAGAUCUGGCGGGUGCUUUGUUUGCGGAGCAAUGGACCACUGGGCGAGGCAAUGCCCGCACAGACAGUCCCAAUCGGCCCUGGAGGCUGAGCGACAGGGUGACCAACAGGUGAAUGCUGAGGUAGAGGUGGGAAGCCCACACAAGAUACAGCAGGUGUACGGGAGUUACAGUCACAGGCCACACCAGGAGAAAAGCAUGAGUGGAUGAAAGCGGGUUGCAGUGUGCGGGAAGGAGUAUGGUGUAGUCCCAAUGAAUCAAGUGAAAGCAGCACUACCCCAACCAUCAGAAGGGAAGCUGCAUGAUCUAGAACCUGGAGACUGGAUAGUGGUGAAAGACUUCUGGAGGAAAAACUGGAAGGCGAAGAGGUGGCUGGGACCGUGUCAAGUGCUCCUCACAACACAGACAGCAGUUAAGAUCGCAGAAAGAGCCAUGUGGAUACAGGCCAGCCAUUGCAAGCCUGUAGCUGGGCCUGAGGAGACAUCGGACAGCACUGGAACCAAUUAAGUGCAAGUAGUGAUUAGAAGCCUCAUACGAAAAUGGGGUUGCCCCAGCUCACACUUCUGGCAAGCGCCCUGGUAGGACUAUUCAUAAGGGCAGGGGCAUUGCGUGGACCCCACCCUACCAUGGCUUUGACAAGUGUGACAUGUGAACAUGGGCUGCGUACAGGGCACACCAGAGCAAGUGACGAUACCACCACAAAGCUGUGUUUCAGGGAGGUGCCAUCUGAGGAAAGGCCUGGUGUUUCCUAAACAUUUUCUGAUGUAUAGCUAUUCUGGCUCUGUAUUUCUUUUAUUGUUGCUGUAGUUGUCCUUGUUGUCACAAAAUGACAAAAAGGAGAAAAAUGUAAUGGAAAAUUAUCCAUUUACUGUGAAAUUUGAAAGAGAAUGCUUUUCUUUAACUUAAUGCUGUAUAAGUUAAACGCUACUUUGAUGAAGGCCUGUAGUUAGCUUAUCUCUGUUUGAAUUCUGUAAACAUUCAACUCGACCUUGCGAUAGUCGAACUCAGUGAAAGCUAAAGAGCUGUUAUGUCUAAGACUAGGGGAUUUGCCCUUGAGAGUGUGAUAAGAAACAGAAUAAAGCAAGUGUCUGUAAAAUGUUAAGGCACACUUUUACAUGAAGGCAUCUAGCAUUUGUAUACUGGAGUCACUUCUGCAGAGUUAACAAUAAAGCUCCUUUCUUUGCUCUUGCUAAUAGUUGUGUCAAGUCGAUUUAAUUUCCAUGACAGCUACAUAAUUCAAGAUUUGUUUAUCUGUCCUCUACAACAUUAUUUUAAUUCAUUGACGAGUAAGUUGACUAAUUCUUUUCAAACUUCAUCCCAAGAUUUUGCAACACAAUUGAUUAAAUAGACAUAUCACUUACUUUAUGUUCCAAUGUGAAAUCAAUCAUUUUCCUUUGCUCCUCUUCUGCUUUGCGGCCUAUUUGCAUAUUUGUCCAUGUACUCGCAUAUAUCCCAAUUUACCCCCUCAGCUUUUCCUGAUUCGGUAUUAACUAUAAAUUGGAACAAGUUUCCAAAUCUAAGCAAUGAUACUUCCACGCAAAAGUUUGAGAAAUCUAGCUAAACUAAAAGUGGGGUUUCUACAGUCUAUUUUAGAUAAGGAUAGGAUAGAAUGUUGCUGCAAUGCUAGCUACUGUUCAAUAGCUUCCUUGUAGGCAUUGCUUAGACUUGCAUGUGAAAGCAAAUUACUUAAGCAAAUUAGCAAAGAAAAGCAAAGUUGUCAUAACAUGGAAAAUCCACCCAUUGCAUUAAUAUUUGGAUAAUUUCACUUGUUUUACUGAAAAGAAAAUAUCAUUAUUGAACAAAAGUGGAUCCAUUAAGCUUCUAAUGGUGUUUAAUGGAAGAGCUUAAGGAUCACAUGUUCAGAUAAUUCAUCAUGUGGUUGUGUUAUUAAAGAAUUUCAGUGGGGAUGAAAAUGCAAAUUAUGCAACUACUUAAUCUCUCAGUGUUUCCAUCUACAUGUAAAAUUCAGGUAGUGAAACCCUUUCUUAUUUUAAAAGUUUACAUAUAAUAAUUAUCAUGAUUAAAAGCACUGGAGAUUAUAAAAUAAUAAAUAAAAAGAAUGUUAAAGUUUAUGAAUGAAAUCCACAAUCAACUAGAAAAUGUUAAUGAGACACAUGAGUUUAUAAGGUUAGAAGUUUGAUUAGGUAAGACAUUUGAGGGCAGUUGGCAAAGAAUCUGUAGAUUUUAUUCUGCCAUAAUUUAGUAGAGAUCAAACUGAGGUUGAAUCUGGAAGAUCAGAUCUCCCAGAAUGUGCCAUAAAGAUCAUCAGGUGUUAAGCAAUAUUUUUUUUUUACCUAACACAUGAUAUUUAUAUCGAGAUUACCUACAGUAUGGAAACAGGCCCUUCAGCUCAACAAGUCCACACUAAUCCUCUGAAAAGUACCCCCCCAGAC